rnacentral:rRNA from 1 species
GACGAACGCUGGCGGCGUGCCUAAUACAUGCAAGUAGAACGCACAGUUUAUACCGUAGCUUGCUACACCAUAGACUGUGAGUUGCGAACGGGUGAGUAACGCGUAGGUAACCUGCCUGGUAGCGGGGGAUAACUAUUGGAAACGAUAGCUAAUACCGCAUAAUAUUAAUUAUUGCAUGAUAAUUAAUUGAAAGGUGCAAUUGCACCACUACCAGAUGGACCUGCGUUGUAUUAGCUAGUAGGUGAGGUAACGGCUCACCUAGGCGACGAUACAUAGCCGACCUGAGAGGGGGAUCGGCCACACUGGGACUGAGACACGGCCCAGACUCCUACGGGAGGCAGCAGUAGGGAAUCUUCGGCAAUGGACGAAAGUCUGACCGAGCAACGCCGCGUGAGUGAAGAAGGGUGUCGGAUCGUAAAGCUCUGUUGUAAGAGAAGAACGGGUGUGAGAGUGGAAAGUUCACACUGUGACGGUAUCUUACCAGAAAGGGACGGCUAACUACGUG